GCCCCGCGGGCGGUGGGGAAGCGGGUUGGGGUCGUCCCGGUGCGGGGUUAGCAGCGGGCUGUUGUUGGCGGUGCGGCCCGAGCCUUGGCUCGUUGCGGUGUUAAUGGGCUGAUAAGGCGGCGUGUGUUUGCUCAAUCUCGGCUUUUAUGUGGUGGGGGAGAUAAGGAAAGGCUGCUUGGGGCCUGCCCGCGCCCUGCCUCGGCCUGGCUGCGUCGCGGUGGGAGCUCAGGCUAAUAAACACGUAAAUGUACCACAUUCCCCUAAACGCAGCUACUUGCUGGUGUGGAAAUAGAGGUUUGGGGUUUAAAAUCGGCUGUUGGACGCAGUUAUAGUCACCUAUGUCCGCUGUAAAGGUUCCUUUUCACCUCGGCAUCCCUGAGGGGCUCCGGAUGGGACUCAUUUCCCGGCACCGCAGCUCAUGGGUCGGGUUGAAGAGAGGGUUUCCCCAUGUGUUGGCUUGGGAGAUGGGCGUGAUUGAGCUGAGAUGGUCCAAGUGACUGAAACAGCACCAAGAAUCCCUUGUCAAGGCUAAGGGUUUAGUGCUGGAGCAUGAUCCGGGUCGUGGUGGUCACCCAUGGACCUCCUGUGUGUGAUGUGACCUCUUACUGCAGCUCAGACACGUGCUGCUGUAGUGCAUUGGCUCAGUUGUGGUGAUUUUAACGCAGUAAUGCAAUGUGGGUUGGUAAGUUGUUAAUGUUUUCUUUGUCUCUAGGCUUAUUCAACAGUACUGAGCUACUUAAAACACAUCGUGUCUGUUGAACCCUACUAAACAACCAAAAACCAACCCCAAACCUAACCGUCCCUCCUGGUUUCCAGCUCAGAACUGAUGUGGAAACAUGCGUUCACUUUUGGGUUGUGUUUGUCUCACUGGUAUAUGACUGUUCAGUAGGCAUUUAAAAGGUUAUAUCUGUGAUGUGAGGUCUUGAGGAGGGUGGAUGUAACAGUGAGAUCUUCAAGAGGGUGGAUAUAAGAGUGAGGUCAUUAUUUUCCCUAUAAAAAAGACACUUUUCAGGCACAAGAAAUAUCUUUAAUUGCAUUUUUUUCCUCCAUUUAAAAGAAAUAAAUCUGUUGGCAGCACAAUUCCACUGAAGGGUGGAGGAUGGAAGGAACUGCACUGAGUUUCAUCUCCAACUUCUAUGACAACUGAUGCAGCUGAGGCCUGUUUAUCCCAGGGUGGGGUUCCCCAGUGCUUCCAAGACUCGCUGCUCCCUGUUCCACACUGGAUUCCUUCCCUUCCUGCUUCCCAAGUAUCCUGCAGUUUGGGUUGGGGCUGAGCUGGUGUCAGUCCUCACCAGAUGAGGAGCUGUAUGAAACAGAACACUGGGAGCUUUUUGUUCAGUGGUUCACUUCUGAAGCCUGUGAUAAAAGUGGUGCUUUAAGCCUGCUCUGCUGUUUGGCAUCUUCAUUCCAUAGCCCAGACCUCCAGGAACCACCCCGUGGAGACCAUCAGCAACUACACUUUCCCCUGGGAUUCACCUGCCAAGCCUGUUGUGAUGGUUCCUCGGUGUCUCCAGCGUCCUGGAGUAACCAACAGUGUGAAACUGGGUUUGGUUUUGAGCCUCUGUAAUGGUCACAAGUGUUCCUCUGCCACCGCACCCUGCACAUGCUGCCACCUCAUCCACACUCAGGUCUUGUGCCGUGUUGUCAUCUGUCCUGUGCUUUCCAGGCCUGUGUUCCUCAAAGGAGCUGGAUCUGAGGAUGACACCCUGGCUAAACCAGUGACUCAGCGCAGGCAUUUCCUGUUGAAGGCGGGUGUCCCCUCGGGCAGGGCCUGGUUGACUGGUGGAAGGUGAAGCACCUUGCCUGUCAUCUGCAGGAAGUGAUGGAGGUCAACAGCAACCUGCAGAGAUCUGGGUAAUGUCCAGCACCCAAAAAAGUCCCACUAGGAGGGGUCCUGCUCCGGAGCUGUCAAGUGAUUCUCCAUAUGCAGCAGAAGUGCUGAGGAUGCUUCUCCUCCUCCUUCAAAUGAAGAUCUGCUGUGGCAGGAAUUGCAUAAGGAAUGUUCCAACCAGGAGUAGAAAGUGUUUGAGAAAGGAAGGGAGUAAAUCAUUCUAAAGGCUGGUUGUAAAGCAAAGCAAAGGGACUUGCAGAAGACAUCCAGUUCUUUGGGCUGAAGUGGAAAGAUGGACAUCAGCACAUCCCCGUGGAUAGGGUCCAUAAUAUCACAUCCGUGUCCUCAGCAGCUGACAGUAAAGGAAUUGCUGCUUC